rnacentral:lncRNA from 12 species
AUAUAUAUAUAUGUAUAAAAAUAUGUAUCUAUAUAUAUAUGAAGGAAAGGAUCCUUAACUGACACUAGAAUUACUGGGCAGUGCAUUUCCCCUCCUGGUCCCGCCGUUCCCGUGCUCCCAGCCUGUGCCCUCCUCAGCACUGGCGUCGCAGAGGGAGCAGGGGGGGCUCGGGAACGCCGUAGGGGGUGCUGGGGAAGCCCCCCCUGUGAGAGGCUGUGCUGCCCCCGUUUCUUUCCUGCCGGCUCUGGUCCCUGCUCGCUGCAGCCCCGGGCUCAGGGCAGCUCCACAUCUGGCACCGCUGGCUCCGAGCGCUGAGCAGAGCGGGCUGGGACCCUCCUCCCCUCCCCAGGACCCCCUCAGCAGCACCCCCUCCCUCGGGGCUGCCCUUCCAUCCAGGACAGCCCGUGGCACGCACCUGCAUCCUCUGGAACCCGCCGCAGCCGCAGCCGCAGCACAGCCCAGAAGUGCUUUUUCCGGAGGGAAGCGGGCGAUCCUCAGCACAAACUCGGUCUCCUUGCAGAGAUCUGAGGGUGUCCCAGACGGGCAGGCGAGGGGCCAGCGGGUGUUUUUGCCCGGGGACGUGCUGGGAUGUCUGGGUGCUCCCCAAAAGGUACCCCCAAGGCGGGGCAGAGCCCGGCUCCUCGGCGCUCUCAGCUGUGCCCCAGCUGUGCCCCAGCUGCACAUCUGCCCCAGCUGUGCUCCCAUCCCCUCCCUGAACGCAGCACCGCCCGUGUCCUGCCGAGGGAAAUCCCGGAUUUGUAUCAAUGUGAAGAGAGUUUAUAGAGCGAAAAUCUCGAAGAAACGUAUCUGACAAAGUUUAUUUUUGAUGUAGAGAGGCAGUGCUUUGUAGCUUCUGGUGACCUAUGUCUGUUGUAAAUAAUGUAUAUUUAAUUUAUUGCUAUGGUAGCAGAUUGUUAUGUAUAAAACUAAAGGUUCACAAAUGUAUAUUUUGUUGCUUAAAUGUGUCUUUGCAAAAUUCACAAUAAAUAACAUAUUUUGUGUCCAUAUACAUGCUCUGUGUGUGUGGCCAUGCAGUGACAGCUCUGGAGGAGCCUUUUGGGAGCUUUGCUUUGAAAAGCAGUGAGGGCAGGGAAUGGUGCCGUGGUGCAAAGUUCCUGACAGCUCCUCGUGGGCAGAGCAGGGUCAGCCUCCAGAGGUUUAAAAAGUUAAGCUUUAAAAUUAAAUAGUAUGAGACAACGUUGACAGAUAAACAAGCAGUUUAGACAUAUGUUUUAAAGGAUUUAAAG